GGAGAGGAAGGUGGCAGCAUUACUAAUCAGAUGUUUGACUGGGAAAUGUAAAGAGAUAGUCAUUACAUGGACAUCUGGAGAAAAAAACAGCACAUGGAAGUAUCAAGUGUUCUGGGGCCGCCCAGGCAGAGGGAAACAAGAGCUAGACUACCUGCUCGUGAUCCCAGGAGGCUAAUGGAACAGUGAUGUAUCGCGGUUCCUGCCUCGUGAAUUUGGAAGCAGGAUUCUGCUCCUAGGAAAAGAUGAGAAUAGAGCUCCAGUCUAUUCUUGCUGCAGUAAUUUGAAAAUUAUGGGACCAUCAAUCUGUUGUGAAUGCUGUCUACAGCAGAUCUUAUCUCUCAGAAUUAUCAAACUGAGCUGAUCCAAAGGCUUGACAUAAAUUACAUGUUAAACGUAUAACAUCUUCUCCUAUGGAUUUCUCCUGGGCAAGAAUGGCAUCUCGGUGCAGGACCCGCAGCACUUUCUCUGGCUCCGCAGACCCGUAAUGAGCCUCCAGAACCUCAGGCUUGGUUUUCUCUGUCUUCAGCAUGUGGAUCACAUCUUCUCUGGCCUGUAAUAGAAAGUGCAGCAAGAUCAGACGACUGACAAUGUAAAUCGCAUACUGGGCUCAAAAAAUCAACAGAGAGCUUAUUGAAUACAUCCCCAUC
rnacentral:lncRNA from 1 species